UCAAGAGUUUGAUUCUGGCUCAGGAUGAACGCUGGCGGCGUGCUUAACACAUGCAAGUCGAACGGACGUAAGGAGCUUGCUCCUUGCGUUAGUGGCGGACGGGUGAGUAACACGUGAGCAAUCUGCCCGUGUCAGGGGGAUAACAGUUAGAAAUGACUGCUAAUACCGCAUAUGACCACAGAGAGGCAUCUCUCAGGGGUGAAAGAUUUUAUCGGACAUGGAUGAGCUCGCGUCCCAUUAGGCAGUUGGCGGGGUAACGGCCCACCAAACCUACGAUGGGUAGCCGGCCUUAGAGGGUGAUCGGCCACAUUGGAACUGAGAUACGGUCCAAACUCCUACGGGAGGCAGCAGUGGGGAAUAUUGGGCAAUGGAGGCAACUCUGACCCAGCAACGCCGCGUGAGUGAUGAAGGUCUUCGGAUUGUAAAACUCUUUAAGUAGGGACGAAGAAAGUGACGGUACCUACAGAAUAAGCCUCGGCUAACUACGUGCCAGCAGCCGCGGUAAUACGUAGGAGGCAAGCGUUAUCCGGAAUGACUGGGCGUAAAGGGUGCGUAGGUGGUUUAGCAAGUUGGCAGCGUAAUUCCGGGGCUCAACUCCGGCGCUACUGCCAAAACUGUUGAACUUGAGUGCAGGAGGGGUAAGUGGAAUUCCUAGUGUAGCGGUGGAAUGCGUAGAUAUUAGGAGGAACAUCGGUGGCGAAGGCGACUUACUGGACUGUAACUGACACUGAGGCACGAAAGCGUGGGGAGCAAACAGGAUUAGAUACCCUGGUAGUCCACGCCGUAAACGAUGAAUACUAGGUGUAGGGGGUAUCGACUCCCUCUGUGCCGUCGCAAACGCAUUAAGUAUUCCGCCUGGGGACUACGGCCGCAAGGUUGAAACCUAAAGAAAUUGACGGGGACCCGCACAAGCAGCGGAGCAUGGGGUUUAAUUCGACGCAACGCGAAAAACCUUACCAGAACUUGACAUCGCGUGACCAUCCUUGUAAUGAGGACUUCCCUUCGGGGACACAAAGACAGGUGUUGCAUGGUUGUCGUCAGCUCGUGUCGUGAGAUGUUAGGUUAAGUCCUGCAACGAGCGCAACCCUCAUAUACAGUUGCCAAUAUUCAGUUAGGAACUCUGUAUAGACUGCCGUGGUCAACACGGAGGAAGGUGGGGAUGACGUCAAAUCAUCACGGCCCUUACGUCCUGGGCUACACACGUGCUACAAUGGCUAUUACAAAGAGCUGCGAUACAGCAAUGUUGAGCGAAUCUCAGAAAGAUAGUCUCAGUUCGGAUUGUGGGCUGCAACCCGCCCACAUGAAGUCGGAGUUGCUAGUAAUCCCGAAUCAGCAUGUCGGGGUGAAUGCGUUCCCGGGUCUUGUACACACCGCCCGUCACGCCAUGGGAGUCGGGAGUACCCAAAGUCAGUGACUUAACCGCAAGGGGAGAGCUGCCUAAGGUAAUACCGAUGACUGGGGUGAAGUCGUAACAAGGUAGCCGUAUCGGAAGGUGCGGCUGGAUCACCUCCUU
rnacentral:rRNA from 1 species